UUGUGGAGGAGGACGCCGAAGGUGGGGCUAGUGACUGGGGUGAAGUCGUAACAAGGUAGCCGUACCGGAAGGUGCGGCUGGAUCACCUCCUAACAGGGAGACAACAAAAUGUAAAAUAUUAAUUUUGUCACCUUAGGUCGAUCGGUAUCUCAGAUUCUUAAUUUUAAGAAUUUCAGUUUCUAAGUUUUUUCUAGGUCACACCCAUUACUUUUUCCUGGGCCAUUAGCUCAGGUGGUUAGAGCGCACCCCUGAUAAGGGUGAGGUCCCUGGUUCAAGUCCAGGAUGGCCCAUAUCUCUAUGUUGGGGGUAUAGCUCAGUUGGUAGAGCGCCUGCUUUGCAAGUAGGAUGUCAGCGGUUCGAGUCCGCUUACCUCCACUGAAUACCGCCUUUUAACAUAUUGCUAAAGAAGGAAAUUGUUUUGAAAUGUGUACUAACCUACUCUGAGCGAUUCUAGCUUCCUAUUUUCAUUUAAUAAAAUAAGAUGCUGGACUCAUUGAAUUUUGAAUUCAUUGUUUUCAGAGAACCUUGACAACUGCAUAGAUUAUUUUUGAAGACAAUAAGCAUCUUUCAAGAUGCAGAUUUAUUAUUUUUGCUAAUGCAUUAAAUAACAAUUCUAUUAAGCUGAUGCUUCAAUUAUUGAAGUUAUUGGUCAAGCUACAA
rnacentral:misc_RNA from 1 species